rnacentral:rRNA from 1 species
CACGGGUGCGUAACGCGUGGGAAUCUGCCCUUGGGUUCGGAAUAACAGCGAGAAAUUGCUGCUAAUACCGGAUAAUGACGUAAGUCCAAAGAUUUAUCGCCCAGGGAUGAGCCCGCGUAGGAUUAGCUAGUUGGUGGGGUAAAGGCCUACCAAGGCGACGAUCCUUAGCUGGUCUGAGAGGAUGAUCAGCCACACUGGGACUGAGACACGGCCCAGACUCCUACGGGAGGCAGCAGUGGGGAAUAUUGGACAAUGGGCGAAAGCCUGAUCCAGCAAUGCCGCGUGAGUGAUGAAGGCCUUAGGGUUGUAAAGCUCUUUUACCCGGGAUGAUAAUGACAGUACCGGAAGAAUAAGCUCCGGCUAACUCCGUGCCAGCAGCCGCGGUAAU